GAUGAACGCUGGCGGCGUGCCUAAUACAUGCAAGUCGAGCGAACAGACGAGGAGCUUGCUCCUUCGACGUUAGCGGCGGACGGGUGAGUAACACGUAGGUAACCUACCUAUAAGACUGGGAUAACUUCGGGAAACCGGAGCUAAUACCGGAUAAUAUUUCGAACCGCAUGGUUCGAUAGUGAAAGAUGGCUUUGCUAUCACUUAUAGAUGGACCUGCGCCGUAUUAGCUAGUUGGUAAGGUAACGGCUUACCAAGGCAACGAUACGUAGCCGACCUGAGAGGGUGAUCGACCACACUGGAACUGAGACACGGUCCAGACUCCUACGGGAGGCAGCAGUAGGGAAUCUUCCGCAAUGGGCGAAAGCCUGACGGAGCAACGCCGCGUGAGUGAUGAAGGUCUUCGGAUCGUAAAACUCUGUUAUUAGGGAAGAACAAACGUGUAAGUAACUGUGCACGUCUUGACGGUACCUAAUCAGAAAGCCACGGCUAACUACGUG
rnacentral:rRNA from 1 species